AUUGAACGCUGGCGGCAGGCCUAACACAUGCAAGUCGGACGAGUGGCGGACUGGUGAGUAAUGUCUGGGCACCUGCCUGAUGGAGGGGGAUAACUACUAGAACCGGUAGCUAAUAGCGCAUACCAUGAGUUGUGCCCCGAGGGGAUUAGCUAGUGGGUGGGGUAACGGCUCAUCAAGGCGACGAUCCCUAGCUGGUCUGAGAGGAUGACCAGCCACACUGGAACUGAGACACGGUCCAGACGCCUACGGGAGGCAGCAGUGGGGAAUAGUGCACAAGGGGCGCAAGCCUGAUGCAGCAAUGCCGCGUGUAUGAAGAAGGGCUUCGGGUUGUAAAGUUCUUUCGGCUGGGAGGCGUUAUCCACAGAAGAAGCACCGGCUAAAUCCGUGCCAGCAGCCGCGGUAAUAC
rnacentral:rRNA from 1 species